rnacentral:rRNA from 1 species
UUAACACAUGCAAGUCGAGGGGAAACGACAUCGAAAGCUUGCUUUUGAUGGGCGUCGACCGGCGCACGGGUGAGUAACGCGUAUCCAACCUGCCCACCACUUGGGGAUAACCUUGCGAAAGUAAGACUAAUACCCAAUGACGUCUCUAGAAGACAUCUGAAAGAGAUUAAAGAUUUAUCGGUGAUGGAUGGGGAUGCGUCUGAUUAGCUUGUUGGCGGGGUAACGGCCCACCAAGGCAACGAUCAGUAGGGGUUCUGAGAGGAAGGUCCCCCACAUUGGAACUGAGACACGGUCCAAACUCCUACGGGAGGCAGCAGUGAGGAAUAUUGGUCAAUGGACGAGAGUCUGAACCAGCCAAGUAGCGUGCAGGAUGACGGCCCUAUGGGUUGUAAACUGCUUUUAUAAGGGAAUAAAGUGAGUCUCGUGAGACUUUUUGCAUGUACCUUAUGAAUAAGGACCGGCUAAUUCCGUGCCAGCAGCCGCGGUAAUACGGAAGGUCCGGGCGUUAUCCGGAUUUAUUGGGUUUAAAGGGAGCGUAGGCCGGAGAUUAAGUGUGUUUUGAAAUGUAGAUGCUCAACAUCUGAACUGCAGCGCGAACUGGUUUCCUUGAGUACGCACAAAGUGGGCGGAAUUCGUGGUGUAGCGGUGAAAUGCUUAGAUAUCACGAAGAACUCCGAUUGCGAAGGCAGCUCACUGGAGCGCAACUGACUCUGAAGCUCGAAAGUGCGGGUAUCGAACAGGAUUAGAUCCCCUGGUAGUCCGCCCGGUAAACAAUGGAUGCCCGCUGUUGGUUUGAAUAGGUCAGCGGCCA